UGAUCCGGAAUGCCAUUUUCGCCCUGCCGAUGCUGGCCCUCGUGGGCUGUGUGACAACGCAGGAAACCGACAUCAUCAUCGUCCACCCGGAAUCGGUGCAGAUCGCGGCGCAUGAGGCCUGCUUCGCCGAGCAGCGUAUCGC
rnacentral:SRP_RNA from 1 species